UUUGCUCACACAUGGCUGGGUUUUUCCCUGGCAUGCAGGGCUUGGGCCUUCCUCAAUCCCCUCACAGAGAUAUGAUUUGUACCUUUGUUCUUUUAUUCCCUUUUUGUCUGUAAUCUAUUUUCAACAAUUUGUUGUUUGUUUUUCUAGAGGAAGCAUUCUGGUUGGUCCAGUCUGGAUCGGGAAGUUCUUGGGAGCAGCUGUGGCGUGGAUGGGCCGUGCCCUUGGAGCAGGCUGAGGACAUCGUUUGGGACCAGCUUUUUUUUCCAGCCAUGGAUGGCAUGAGCCGGGCUCUGCAGAUGCUGAGGCUGCUCUGGGCUCUGCCAGGGCUCUGCUGGAGCUCAGCACCGGGCCGGAAUCAGCCAAAGAAGAAAUGGUGUCACCUGCAGCACAGACUUGCUUGAGCAUUUUGACAACGCAGCUCAAGUUUGCAGAGUGUACACCUCCAGAGGAAAACAUGACACCUCCCAAAAAUUAAACUUGUUCAAUACCUUCUGAAAUGAAA